rnacentral:lncRNA from 1 species
AAAUAAUGCAGGUGAUCGUGGUAGAGGACGUGGACGUGGGUGUAGUAGAAGUCAAAGUUGGGGUGGCAAGGAAGAGAGUGGUAGUGGUGGUAAUGAUGGAGCUUGGAAUUCCAGUAGAAACGAUGCAGGUGGUCGUGGUAGAGGACGUGGACGUGGGUGUAGUAGAAGUCACAGUUGGGGUGGCAAGGAAGAGAGUGGUAGUGGUAGUAAUGAUGGAGCUUGGAAUUCCAGUGGAAACUAUGCAGGUGGAUAUGGCCACAAUGGAGGACGUAGUUAUGGUGGUAGGAACGGCAAUUGGGACGGUGUCAGGAGAGGUCGGAGUGGAAGCGCAAGACGUGGGCGUGGUAAUGAGAGGGAAAGUGAAUUCUGCCCCAAGUCCUUCAACUGGUGUAGCAGCAAUGAGAUUAGGAAGUGGAACCACGAUGCAAAAAUGAACUUCCCUGGUGAUACUAAAGGAAGUUGGGGCCAUGACAAUGUCACUAAUGAUGGAGAUGGGUCUUGUGGUAACGUAUGGAAUAGUAAUGCCAGUAGAGGCGGAAAUAGCUGUUGGGGUCGCCAUGUUCCUGGAAAUCAAGGCGGUUGGAGUUCUGGUGGUGGCAACGGCUGGUAAAAAAUGUUAUCUUAAACCCAGGCUUAAAAAAAACAUUAGAAUAUAUUAAAGUUAAAAUGUUAAAUCAGUUUCUUGGUUAGUUGGUAGAUGGAUGCUUACUUCUAUCAAACUACAAAAAAAAAUCUGGAUGAACUCAUCAUAUUAAUGAAAAUUGG